rnacentral:rRNA from 1 species
CAGCCGUAAACUAUGCGCGUUAGGUGUACUGGUGACCACGAGUCACCGGGGUGCCGAAGGGAAACCGUGAAACGUGCCGCCUGGGAAGUACGGUCGCAAGGCUGAAACUUAAAGGAAUUGGCGGGGAGCACCACAACGGGUGGAGCCUGCGGUUUAAUUGGACUCGACGCCGGAAAUCUCACCGGAUAGGACAGACAUAUGAUAGUCGGGCUGAAGACUCUACUUGAUGAUCUGAGAGGAGGUGCAUGGCGUCAGUGACU